AGCGCAUACAUAACCACUUAUACAUUCUUAGGAGACAAAAUAAAAAUCAGAAAUAAUGGAGAGAAAAAUCCUUUUCAGCAUGCACUUCUUUCUCAUUAUUGUCUUAGCUGCUCAAGAAGCAGUGAUGCAAAUUGAUCAGUCAUGUGAGAUAAGAUGUAUUAGGUUUAAAGGUGCAUGCAAUAAUGAACUACACGGCUAUGUUUGUAACGCUAUGUGCCUUUUGAUGAAUAAACUUAUAUCUAGUGGUUCCUGCAUAAAUGAUAAAUGCAUUUGUUAUACCUAACGUAUCAAAUAUAUAAUUAUAUUAUUAUACUCUAUAUUAUAGAGAUAAGUAAACAAACCAAGCCAUUUUUUUCUUUGGUACCUAAUAAACCAAGCUUUUAGUCACAAAAAAAAUAAAGCUAGAAUUUUGUUCACGUAAUCAUGUGUAUCUUUGAAUUGUAAAAUAGACUUCAUUCUUGGCAAAAUAUAGAUACGUAACCUUGGGUGGGAGGGUGAUUCUUAUCAAUUCGGUGCUCGCCUCAAUUCCAAGUUUUUACUUGUCCUUCAUGAAAAUGCCAUUAAAAGCGUGGAGGAAGCUAUAGUGUCGAUACAAAGAAAUUUCUUGUGAUGAGGAGCUAGUGGUAAUAAGAAGAUUGUUUAGGUUAGUUGGGUAGAUGUUUGUUUGUUGUGCAAAAGAGUGCGGUGGACUUGAAAUAAGAAAUUUAAGAUUGGUGAAUA